CUAAGAAUCUUGCGCAAUGGGCGAAAGCCUGACGCAGCAACGCCGCGUGCGGGAGGAAGGCCUUCGGGUUGUAAACCGCUUUUGCGAGGGAAGAAGUACUGACGGUACCUCGCGAAUAAGCCACGGCUAACUACGUGCCAGCAGCCGCGGUAAUACGUAGGUGGCAAGCGUUGUCCGGAUUUACUGGGCGUAAAGCGCCCGCAGGCGGCCCGGCAAGUUUCAGGUGAAAUCUCCCGGCUCAACCGGGAGGGGUCCUGAAAAACUGCCAGGCUUGAGGCAGGGAGGGGAAUGCGGAAUUUCCGGUGUAGCGGUGAAAUGCGUAGAUAUCGGAAGGAACACCAGCGGCGAAGGCGGCAUUCUGGCCCUGACCUGACGCUCAGGGGCGAAAGCGUGGGGAGCGAACCGGAUUAGAUACCCCCGUAGUCC
rnacentral:rRNA from 1 species